UUGGAACGAACUACUCGUCGCAUUCUAAGCGCGUGCCGCGGUAAAUAUGUACAUAAUAUUCCUACCGAACAAAUAUCGGGCAGAUUGAUUGUUGUAACGUAGAUACGUACAUACAUACGAGGCAAUGAUCGAAUAUCGGUAGCGAGCACUCACAUAUAUUAUUCGUGCAACAAAACCAAACCUUGGCAUGGACAUCAAAUUAUAAAAGUGCUGAUUGCUGCUGCCGUUGCACCAACAGUGGCGGCGGGAUUAACAAUCAUCGGAAACCAUCGUGACAACACACAUAGAUGCAUUCCUUAUACGUCCCGAAGAUGAAAGGUAAGAAGAUGUUGGCAAGUCAACGACCGAUACGGUUCUCACUUCCCAAACUGGAGGAAUUCCUUGGGGCAUAUACAUAUACGUAUAUACAUAUGUAUAUAUACGGAGUGGUUCUCACACGUGCAACAUCCGUUGGUUGGCACCUCGCUCAGGUGGUUGAAAUACAAACCCCACGGUGAAAAUGAUAAGGGAACCAGAAGGGGGUUUCGAUACCAAGUCGAAGAACUGCGGGGGAUCCAAAAAUGAAGUUUAAUAUCCUAUAUGCAUAUCCACAUGACUUUCAAAGAAUUUGUCACUUAAAACAACACAAAAUAUGACACACUGGUAGGUUACUGCAAACCGUAGCACCGUGCACAGUUAAUUUCUGAUAAUAUCUGGUCGAAAUCACCGCAUUGUUAUAUUUGAACAAGUACUGUCAUAGCGCAUUAUGUUAUGAAAUAAAUAUCGUCGAUGAUGAUAUUACCUUGACUAAAAGAAAACACAGAUGGAAAAAGGCGUGCGCACGCGUGCAGUGGCCGGUUACGAGGAGAUUCCACUUUUAACUAAUUGAUUGCGCUGAAAAAAAAUCGCGCGCAAUUAUCCUUUGCCCUUUUUCCGGUUAGUUUAAACACUUGGACAGUUGUUAGCGGUUUCCGAUCAUCCGGCUACGACCGUUCCUUCCGUCGUCAAGGCACUUCCUCUACUGAAGGACGGGACGUUGCAGCGCUCGGGGAGGCUUUCGAGAGCGC
rnacentral:misc_RNA from 1 species